UACGUAGGGUGCGUGCGUUAAUCGGAAUUACUGGGCGUAAAGCGUGCGCAGGCGGGCUUUUAAGCCAGACGUGAAAUCCCCGGGCUUAACCUGGGAAUGGCGUUUGGGACUGGAAGUCUGGAGUACGGCAGAGGAGACUGGAAUUCCUGGUGUAGCAGUGAAAUGCGUAGAUAUCAGGAGGAACACCGAUGGCGAAGGCAGGUCUCUGGGCUGAUACUGACGCUCAUGCACGAAAGCGUGGGGAGCAAACAGG
rnacentral:rRNA from 1 species